rnacentral:pre_miRNA from 1 species
UAUAAGGGAUUUUGAGUUUUGGUUUGCACUGUUUGACCACUCGUCUUAUUCAGAAAGUUUUGGAAUUAUUAUUUAUUUUUUUGACUUACUUUAUUAUCCAAAGUACUUUAAGCAUAAUUUUUCGUUUUUUAUAUUUGCACAAUUUUUUUGAAUAAGACGAGUGGUCAAACAAUGCAAAUAGAAACUCAAAAUCCCAUAUAUU